rnacentral:rRNA from 1 species
AUUGAACGCUGGCGGCAUGCCUAACACAUGCAAGUCGAACGAGUGGCGGACGGGUGAGUAAUGUAUCGGAACCUGCCUAAUGGAGGGGGAUAACUACUGGAAACGGUAGCUAAUACCGCAUACCAUCAGAUCUGCCCAUAUGGGAUUAGCUAGUUGGUGGGGUACAGGCUCACCAAGGCAACGAUCCCUAGCUGGUCUGAGAGGAUGACCAGCCACACUGGAACUGAGACACGGCCCAGACGCCUACGGGAGGCAGCAGUGGGGAAUUUUGGACAAUGGGCGAAAGCCUGAUGCAGCCAUGCCGCGUGUAUGAAGAAGGCUUUCGGGUUGUAAAGUACUUUUGGCAGAGAGGCGUUAUCUGCAGAAGAAGCACCGGCUAACUACGUGCCAGCAGCCGCGGUAAUUC